GGUGGCUCAGUGGUAGAGUGGUUGCCUUGCAUGCAUGAGGCCCUGGGUUCAAUUCCUCAGCACCA
rfam:Dipodomys ordii contig_2712, whole genome shotgun sequence.